CCUACGGGAGGCUGCCGUGAGGAAUAUUGGUCAAUGGGCGGAAGCCUGAACCAGCCAAGUCGCGUGAGGGAUUAAGGCCCUGCGGGUCGUAAACCUCUUUUAUAAGGGAAUAAAGUGUGGGACGUGUCCUAUUUUGUAUGUACCUUAUGAAUAAGGAUCGGCUAACUCCGUGCCAGCAGCCGCGGUAAUACGGAGGAUCCGAGCGUUAUCCGGAUUUAUUGGGUUUAAAGGGUGCGUAGGCGGCCUUUUAAGUCAGCGGGGAAAGUCUGUGGCUCAACCAUAGAAUUGCCGUUGAAACUGGGGGGCUUGUGUAUGUUUGAGGCAGGCGGAAUGCGUGGUGUAGCGGUGAAAUGCUUAGAUAUCACGCAGAACCCCGAUUGCGAAGGCAGCCUGCCAAGCCAUGACUGACGCUGAUGCACGAAAGCGUGGGGAUCAAACAGGAUUAGAUACCCGAGUAGUC
rnacentral:rRNA from 1 species